UUGUUCCAGGCUAAUUUCAAAUGCUAGAGUUCAGAGCUUUUGCUAAGGUAACAACCAACACCACAUGGACAGAAAUCUAAUGUUACCAAGUGGGACUUUUAAAAUGUAUUUAUAACUUUAUGGUUCAAAGUAAUUUUGUUAUGAAACAAUGUAAUAACAACAGUGGAAAAAGGCAAGAUAAUUUAUGGAACACAAUAUCCCUAAAGCACUGGCUUCCAUUUCUACCCUCAGCUUAGUCUUGGGAGUCUGGUUGGUAUCCUUUGUUUGCUGUUUUGUUUUAAUUAAGGGUUAGUAUUUUGGUGGGGAGGGGGAGGGAGGAG
rnacentral:lncRNA from 1 species